rnacentral:rRNA from 1 species
GUAGGUGGCAAGCGUUGUCCGGAAUUAUUGGGGUGUAAAGCGCGCGCAGGCGGUUCUUUAAGUCUGAUGUGAAAGCCCACGGGCUCAACCGUGGAGGGUCAUUGGAAACUGGAGAACUUGAGUACAGAAGAGGAAAGCGGAAUUCCACGUGUAGCGGUGAAAUGCGUAGAGAUGUGGAGGAACACCAGUGGCGAAGGCGGCUUUCUGGUCUGUAACUGACGCUGAGGCGCGAAAGCGUGGGGAGCAAACAGGAUUAGAUACCCUGGUAGUCCACGCCGUAAACGAUGAGUGCUAAGUGUUAGGGGGUUUCCGCCCCUUAGUGCUGCAGCUAACGCAUUAAGCACUCCGCCUGGGGAGUACGGCCGCAAAGGCUG